UGGAAUGGGCGCAGCCUGAUCCAGCCAUGCCGCGUGAGUGAUGAAGGCCUUAGGGUUGUAAAGCUCUUUCGGCGGGGAAGAUAAUGACGGUACCCGCAGAAGAAGCCCCGGCUAACUUCGUGCCAGCAGCCACGGUAAUUGACCAAUCCGCGGUAAU
rnacentral:rRNA from 1 species